rnacentral:rRNA from 1 species
UACGUAGGGCGCAAGCGUUGUCCGGAAUUAUUGGGCGUAAAGAGCUCGUAGGCGGCCUGUUGCGUCCGCUGUGAAAUCCCGGGGCUCAACCCCGGGCCUGCAGUGGAUACGGGCUGGCUAGAGGCAGGCAGGGGAGAACGGAAUUCCUGGUGUAGCGGUGAAAUGCGCAGAUAUCAGGAGGAACACCGGUGGCGAAGGCGGCCCCCUGGGCCGCGGCCUGACGCUGAGACGCGAAGGCUAGGGGAGCGAACGGG